rnacentral:rRNA from 1 species
UACGAAGGGAGCUAGCGUUGUUCGGAAUCACUGGGCGUAAAGCGCACGUAGGCGGAUGUGUCAGUCAGGGGUGAAAUCCCGGAGCUCAACUUCGGAACUGCCUUUGAUACAGCACAUCUGGAGUCCGGAAGAGGUGGGUGGAAUUCCUAGUGUAGAGGUGAAAUUCGUAGAUAUUAGGAAGAACACCGGUGGCGAAGGCGGCCCACUGGUCCGGUACUGACGCUGAGGUGCGAAAGCGUGGGGAGCAAAAAGG